UUGAACGCUGGCGGCAUGCCUUACACAUGCAAGUCGAACGGUAGAGGGGCAACCCUUGAGAGUGGCGAACGGGUGAGUAAUAUAUCGGAACGUGUCCAGUCGUGGGGGAUAACGCAGCGAAAGCUGCGCUAAUACCGCAUACGAUCUAUGGAUGAAAGCGGGGGAUCGCAAGACCUCGCGCGAUUGGAGCGGCCGAUAUCAGAUUAGGUAGUUGGUGGGGUAAAAGCCCACCAAGCCGACGAUCUGUAGCUG
rnacentral:rRNA from 1 species